GUGAUUCUGUCGAGACGGGCUGAUCCGCCUUUAAAGUUGGAUUGCAGCGUUAAAACUUUGCAGAUGUUGACAUCGUCACAGUGUCAAACCCUUUCAUCCUCUUCAGGCAAUUUCAAAAUAAAGCUUCUAGCAGUCAAAUCCUCGCACCCAACCUCCCCUCGUCAUGUCUCCUAAUUAGUCUCUCCUCUAAACACCACAGACUCUAAUUCAAGCUCCGAAAGGUUUCCUCAGUGCCUGUUACCCGUCGUACAGCUUCCGGGUUCAUGUCCGCUGUCUCCGCCCACCAGAGUGACGUCACCAUCCCCCGGGGCAACGUGACUCCUGUAUGUCCAGCGUCCUCCACUACCGUGUCCUUUUCCGUCCAGGAGCAUCCAUGUGCCCUGACUUCUGUAGCCACACACGGGCAGUCCGUCACCUCCUUCGAGUCCUCUCCAUCUUUUCCACUCUGCUGGCACCGAAACCAGAAGCUGCACAGAGGCAUCGGUACAAGUGUCCCCGUCCUGGCAACCCCAGCCUCACUGACAAGAAUGCAUCUAUUCUCUGGCUCCACUCCACCAAGAGUGGAUGAGUAAGAGCGGCCUGCAGAAACAGCUGUUUAGGGAGUGAUCAAAAGAGGGUGAGAGGCUUCUUUGAUUACUCUCUCUUUGUUCACCUUCCUCUCAAACUUUUCUAUUCACUGAGGCCUGUGAGUGGGCAGCAAGCCAAGGGAAUUCACAAGGCUUUACUUGUAUCUAGUUGUAUUUCAAAUCCAUAUGCUGCAGCAAAGUUGCCACCAAGAUUCAUUAAAAUUAUAAUAUUUGCA
ensembl:lncRNA